UACGGAGGGGCGAGCGUUAUUCGGAAUUAUUGGGCGUAAAGGGCGCGUAGGCGGCCUUGUAAGUCAAAGGUGAAAUCCCUCGGCUCAACUGAGGAACUGCCUUUGAAACUGCAAGGCUUGAGGCCGGGAGGGGUAGCGGAAUUCCCAAUGUAGCGGUGAAAUGGCGUAGAUAUUGGGAGGAACACCAGUGGCGAAAGGCGGCUACCUGGACCGGUUCUGGACGCUGAGGCGCGAAAGCGUGGGUACGCAACGAGG
rnacentral:rRNA from 1 species